GACGAACGCUGGCGGCGUGCUUAACACAUGCAAGUCGAGCGGUAAGGCCCUUUCGGGGGGUACACGAGCGGCGAACGGGUGAGUAACACGUGGGUGACCUGCCCUUAGCUCUGGGAUAAGCCUGGGAAACUGGGUCUAAUACCGGAUAUGACUCCAUGACGCAUGUUGUGGGGUGGAAAGCCUUGUGCGGCUAGGGAUGGGCCCGCGGCCUAUCAGCUUGUUGGUGGGGUGAUGGCCUACCAAGGCGACGACGGGUAGCCGGCCUGAGAGGGCGACCGGCCACACUGGGACUGAGGCACGGCCCAGACUCCUACGGGAGGCAGCAGUGGGGAAUCUUGCGCAAUGGGCGAAGGCCUGACGCAGCGACGCCGCGUGAGGGAUGACGGCCUCGG
rnacentral:rRNA from 1 species